GGGGCUGUAGGGUAGCCAGGGAUCCUGCCAGCCCGGGGCGCUGGUGACCGGAGUUCAAAUCUCCGCAGCCCCA
rnacentral:tRNA from 1 species